rnacentral:rRNA from 1 species
GACGAACGCUGGCGGCGUGCUUAACACAUGCAAGUCGAACGGAAAGGCCUCUUUCGGGGGGUACUCGAGUGGCGAACGGGUGAGUAACACGUGAGUAACCUGCCCUUGACUUUGGGAUAACUUCAGGAAACUGGGGCUAAUACCGGAUAGGAGCUCCUGCUGCAUGGUGGGGGUUGGAAAGUUUCGGCGGUUGGGGAUGGACUCGCGGCUUAUCAGCUUGUUGGUGGGGUAGUGGCUUACCAAGGCUUUGACGGGUAGCCGGCCUGAGAGGGUGACCGGCCACAUUGGGACUGAGAUGCGGCCCAGACUCUUACGGGAGGCAGCAGUGGGGAAUAUUGCACAAUGGGUGGAAGCCUGAUGCAGCAACGCCGUGUGCGGGAUGACGGCCUUCGGGUUGUAAACCGCUUUCGCUCAUGACGAAGCUUUGUGUGACGGUAGUGGGGAAAGAAGCACCGGCUAACUACGU